GGAGGGGAGUGAGUGCACACUACCCUGUGUAGCAUCCGGUCACUGGCAAGCUGAUGUUUGCCAUGAGGAGAUACGGGGACCAGCAGCAAUAGUUCAUGAUUUUAUAGUUAGCAGAUAAUUGCCCUUUAUCCUUGGGGUGCAGCAAGGGAGGGAGGAAGGGUGGUAUGUGUUUUCAUCUUUGGAAGAGAAAAUUAAAUUGGAAUUAUUUUCUAGAAAUUUUGAGAAGUCCACUCAAUUUUCCUGGGAGAGAGUGCUCACUGUGUGAAAGUACAUCCCAUGUUACAAAAGAGUUGUAUGUGUGUGUGUAUAUAUAUAAUAUAUGCACACAUGAAAUUAUGUGUAUAUGUAUAUAUACAUACAUACGUGUAUGUAUAUGUCCCCACGCAGCUAUUUGGUAUUUGUAAGUUUAGACUUCAACUUAACAUAAUAUGAAAACUUCUCUGGUUUACAAAGUGUAAAAUCUUAUACAAGCCAAUGGAUUUCCUACCUCACUGGACACUCGGCUGUCUGUCAUCGGUUCUUGUGUGUACAUACGUCAGAUCUUUUGCUUUAAAUGUAAAUAUUUGCUUUGAAAAGUUACUUACCAUUUUAUGAUAAAGCCCAGUUCUCUCCUCAGUUUAAAGGUAUUUUUUUAAAGACACUUGGUUUAAAUUUCUCUCUAUGAACAGUUUAGCAUUAAGGGUUAAUUUUAAUGGUGUCUGGUAAUUGGCCAAGUGUAAUAUUUCUUAAAAUUUAACAUUACUUUUAACAGCCAGCAUGUAAUACAAGUAACUACACUACCUCAUACACACCUUUGUGAUUUUCAAGUUGUAUUAGGUGGACAGGACAGGUUUUACCUUUGUCUUUGGGCCAUAAGGUGGGUAAUAAUAGAAAUAUAUUGCAUAGCAUUAUACAUGUAUGCCUAUUUUAACGUGAACUUCUAAAACAUUUUCUUUUCUAAGAAGAUUUGUUUUAAGGAAAUAUUGGGGGGGGGGAUGCAGAAGACAAAUGAUAGGAGGAUCAUAUGUGUACAACGUAUGCCUUUUCCUUCAUGCAGAGCUUGGACAGUGGUUUUAGUUGGUGUUUUGCAUAGUCACACAAUCAGAGCUCCUUAUUGUAUAAGCCAGCCUUCUCAAGGCGCGGUGAUUUUUUUUUUUUAAAGCUGUCAUGUCUGACUUGAUACAAUAAUGUCAUCUUUGUCAUCUUAAAUUUUUGCCCCUUAUUUGAAUCCUGUAGCUACAAUCAAAUUAAUUUGUUAAAUUGUUAUACUCAGAAUAAAUAUGGAUAUAACAUUGGUUGUCCACCUGCAAGCUUUCUAACAGUUUACUGUAGCUUGAUGCUUAGCCAGUUUUACAUUAGGAAUUCAACAUACAUGAUACAGGGAUGAGGGUACUCAGCCGCGUUAACAACUUGGAAAAAAAGAAAGAAGCAAAUGGCGAUGUUACAGUGAAUUCUCAGGUGAACUUUCCAGUUAUGAAAACAUCUAUUUUGCAUUUGUAAAUAUUUUAACUGUUUUAUUAAGGCAUGGACUAAACUAUUCUUUGACACCUGUUGGGUAGAGUGAAAAUUUAAAGCCAUAAUGGUAAAAGAUGGCAUACUGAUUGUAAAAUAAACAAAUGAUAAUAAUAAUAAUGAUUUUUUUGUAUCUUUCAUAAUAUAAUUUUUCUAACUGCAAUAAAACCACUGAACUUAUAUAUUCCUGUCCUAUUAAGCCCAUGUUUCAUUAGUAGUACACCUUAUAAUAUUUAAUUUACAUUUUCUAAUGUGCUUGUCUGGAUGUGUCAGUAUAAGUCCUAGAUGGUGAUUCUAGACUGACGGUUAAAUAAAGUUCCUAACAUGGCUUUC
rnacentral:lncRNA from 1 species